UUUUGGGUCAAAGUAGGUGAGCCGUGCAUUGCAAAAGGGAGAAGUAGUGUAACCGCCAGACGGAGUGCCACAGAAAUAAAAAGGGACCGAUCCCCGGAGUAGUUACCUAUCGACAGAAGCCAAUUACAUCGAGGACUUCAAUCUCAAGUAGUGAGUUAGAUCGUCGUUCAUUC